UACGAAGGGGGCUAGCGUUGCUCGGAAUCACUGGGCGUAAAGCGCACGUAGGCGGAUUGCUAAGUCAGGGGUGAAAUCCUGGAGCUCAACUCCAGAACUGCCUUUGAUACUGGCGAUCUUGAGUCCGGGAGAGGUGAGUGGAACUGCGAGUGUAGAGGUGAAAUUCGUAGAUAUUCGCAAGAACACCAGUGGCGAAGGCGACUCACUGGCCCGGUACUGACGCUGAGGUGCGAAAGCGUGGGGAGCAAACAGG
rnacentral:rRNA from 1 species